rnacentral:rRNA from 1 species
AUUAGAUAAAAAACCCAAUGCCCUUCGGGGCUUUCUGGUGAUUCAUAAUAACUAAACGAAUGCAUGGCCUUGAGCCGGCGAUGUUCAUUCAAAUUUCUGCCCUAUCAACUUUCGAUUGUAGGAUAGAGGCCUACAAUGGUUUCAACGGUAACGGAGAAUUAGGGUUCGGUUCCGGAGAGGGAGCCUGAGAAACGGCUACCACAUCCAAGGAAGGCAGCAGGCGCGCAAAUUACCCAAUCCCGACACGGGGAGGUAGUGACAAUAAAUACUGAUACAGGGCUCUUUUGGGUCUUGUAAUUGGAAUGAGUACAAUUUAAAUCCCUUAACGAGGAACAAUUGGAGGGCAAGUCUGGUGCCAGCACCCGCGGUAAUUCCAGCUCCAAUAGCGUAUACUAAAGUUGUUGCAGUUAAAAAGCUCGUAGUUGAACCUUGGGUCUGGCUGGCCGGUCCGCCUCACCGCGUGCACUGGUCCGGCCGGACCUUUCCUCUUGGGGAUCCGCAUGCCCUUUACUGGG